AACGAACGCUGGCGGCAUGCCUAACACAUGCAAGUCGAACGAGACCUUCGGGUCUAGUGGCGCACGGGUGCGUAACGCGUGGGAAUCUGCCCUUCGGUUGGGAAUAACUGAGAGAAAUUUCAGCUAAUACCUUAUAAUGUCUUCGGACCAAAGAUUUAUCGCCGAGGGAUGAGCCCGCGUAGGAUUAGGUAGUUGGUGGGGUAAUGGCCUACCAAGCCGACGAUCCUUAGCUGGUCUGAGAGGAUGAUCAGCCACACUGGGACUGAGACACGGCCCAGAGUCCUACGGGAGGCAGCAGGGGGGAAUAUUGGACAAUGGGCGAAAGCCUGAUCCAGCAAUGCCGCGUGAGUGAUGAAGGCCUUAGGGUUGUAAAGCUCUUUUACCCGGGAUGAUAAUGACAGUACCGGGAGAAUACGCUCCGGCUAACUCCGUGCCAGCAGCCGCCGUAA
rnacentral:rRNA from 1 species